rnacentral:rRNA from 1 species
GACGAACGCUGGCGGCGUGCUUAACACAUGCAAGUCGAACGGAAAGGCCUUGCUUUUGUGGGGUGCUCGAGUGGCGAACGGGUGAGUAACACGUGAGUAACCUGCCCUUGACUUUGGGAUAACUUCAGGAAACUGGGGCUAAUACCGGAUAGGAGCUCCUGCUGCAUGGUGGGGGUUGGAAAGUUUCGGCGGUUGGGGAUGGACUCGCGGCUUAUCAGCUUGUUGGUGGGGUAGUGGCUUACCAAGGCUUUGACGGGUAGCCGGCCUGAGAGGGUGACCGGCCACAUUGGGACUGAGAUACGGCCCAGACUCCUACGGGAGGCAGCAGUGGGGAAUAUUGCACAAUGGGCGGAAGCCUGAUGCAGAAACGCCGCGUGCGGGAUGACGGCCUUCGGGUGGUAAACCGCUUUCGCCUGUGACGAAGCGUGAGUGACGGUAAUGGGUAAAGAAGCACCGGCUAACUACGUG